CUGAACCGUGGGACCUGGAUGUAAAGUAUAAAGAACAGCAUAACAGGGAAAGAGGCCACAGCAUCAGAUGUGCAGAUGCCUCGACAGGAAGUGAGGAGGAAGAACAGGGCUGUGUGACAGAAGACAGCACAUGCAGAGGGGCGUGAAAGACUCGGUAUGAAGGUUGCGUGUGUCCUUGGGAAAAUCAGAGAGAGGUAAAGAAAGAAGAAAAGAAGAACCAGGGGAGCUAAAUGAGGAAAGACAAAGGAAUGAGCUGUUCAGGGCAGCAGUCAGACUGGGAGAGUCCAGCAGCCAGGACCCACAGCAGGCCACAGUACUCACUUCCAAAGAACAUGAAGAGGACAAAGAGCACUGGGUAGAAAUAGCUCAAGCAGACAGCGAGGGCAUAUUCAUGCACGACCGCGGACAAGGCAAAGACAGCCAACAUGGCGGCAGACUUGAACCU